UGGAAGUGCCUUUCUUGAACUGGACUGGUUUGUGCGUGAAGAACAUCAAUCAUCCCAGUUCAGGGGGCGCUUUCUUUAUUUCGACACGCCGCUACCCGCCGGGGGCAUCGGUGGAUUCAG
rnacentral:sRNA from 1 species